CGGGAGGCAGCAGUAGGGAAUAUUGCACAAUGGGCGCAAGCCUGAUGCAGCGACGCCGCGUGAGGGAUGACGGCCUUCGGGUUGUAAACCUCUUUCAGUAGGGACGAAGCGAAAGUGACGGUACCUACAGAAGAAGGACCGGCCAACUACGUGCCAGCAGCCGCGGUAGUACGUAGGGUCCGAGUGUUGUCCGGAAUUACUGGGCGUAAAGAGCUCGUAGGUGGUUUGUCGCGUUGUUCGUGAAAACUCACAGCUUAACUGUGGGCGUGCGGGCGAUACGGGCAGACUAGAGUACUGCAGGGGAGACUGGAAUUCCUGGUGUAGCGGUGGAAUGCGCAGAUAUCAGGAGGAACACCGGUGGCGAAGGCGGGUCUCUGGGCAGUAACUGACGCUGAGGAGCGAAAGCGUGGGUAGCGAACAGGAUUAGAUACCCUGGUAGUCCACGCCGUAAGCGGUGGGUACUAGGUGUGGGUUUCCUUCCUUGGGAUCCGUGCCGUAGCUAACGCAUUAAGCACUCCGCCUGGGGAG
rnacentral:rRNA from 1 species